AUUGAACGCUGGCGGCAGGCCUAACACAUGCAAGUCGAGCGAGCGGCGGACGGGUGAGUAAUGUCUGGGGAUCUGCCUGAUGGAGGGGGAUAACUACUGGAAACGGUAGCUAAUACCGCAUACCAUCGGAUGUACCCAUAUGGGAUUAGCUAGUUGGUGGGGUAACGGCUCACCUAGGCGACGAUCCCUAGCUGGUCUGAGAGGAUGAUAAGCCACCCUGGAACUGAGACACGGCCCAGACUCCUACGGGAGGCAGCAGUGGGGAAGAUUGCACAAUGGGCGCAAGCCUGAUGCAGCCAUGCCGCGUGUAUGAAGAAGGCCUUCGGGUUGUAAAGUACGUUCAGCGGGGAGGCGUUACCCGCAGAAGAAGCACCGGCGAACUCCGUGCCAGCCGCCGCGGUAAUAC
rnacentral:rRNA from 1 species